AAUUAGUGCCUUGAACAAAGGAUGAGAAUAACUCUCAAAUAAGACUUAGACCUUUCCUUAUGACUUUGUGGGAAUAGAGGAAAGAGAAACUAUGAAAUAUUGGGAUGUACUAAAUAAAACUUAGUACAUAAAGGCUAGAAUGUAAUCUUUCCUAUCUCAUUCUGCUCCCAGCUUGAUUAUUUAAAUUACAAGUCGUAGUCAGAAUAGUACAUACAUUAGCUUAUUUAAUCCUCAAAGCAAUCCUCCAAGGUGUGGGGGGAUGCUAAUAUUAGCACUCCAUCCAUUUUACAGUUGAGGAAACUGAAGCACAGAGGUGCUAUGUGAUUUGUCUAAGAACACACAGGAAGUAAAUGCUAGAUGUAAGAUUUGUACCUAGCAGACUGGUGUCAGAAGUGCUGUCUUAAUCACUGCACGGUAUUGCCUCUCUAAUUUGUAAAAGAUAAUGGGAUACCUGGAAAAGACCCAGGGGAGAUAAAAUCAAUUAUCAAAGGGGUGGGAAAUAGAUAACGAAAUUUAAAAGAGAGAACAGCUGUAUAAGAGGCAUCUUUUAAAAAUAUAUGAAGAGAUUCUGAGCAGUUCUUUUCUGGUAUAAUCCCAGCCCUAGAUGACCCUAUUGGUCUUCUCCAUCCCUACCCUAGGGCAGCUGAUCACAGCUGAAGAAAAAUUACAGUGUCAGAUCAACUAGUGUCUUCUGCACCCAGAAGCCAUAGCCUGUCUGGACCCCUCCACCCUGCCCAGCAGUCUGAACCUCUUCGCUGGUCAGCUCAUUCUUUUUGCCCCUUUAGUGACCCGUCAAACUUUCUCCACUCAGACUUUUAACCAAUUCUUCCCUCUUGGAAGGCCACUUUUGUUCCUACUUCACAUAGAAAAAGGAAGCCUUCAGUUAUAUAUACGCUCAUAUUUUAGCCACCAAAUGUAACAAACUAAACCGGAUUUACACCAGUUCGCAGCUGUCUUUCCAAUAAUAAAGAAGCUGUUCCCCUCCACAGCCUCAGGAACCACAUGCUAUCAAUUAUCUCCUUUCCUUGGUAUCCUUAGCCUUUCCUGCUGAAGCAAAUCCUUCCCAUGAGCACUUAAGCAUGCCCUAAGCUCUCACUUAAAAGGCAAAAACAAAACCUCUCCUAUUUAUCCACCCUCCUUUCUCUCCCUCAGCUCCCUCCCUUCAACUAAAUUUGUCAAAAGAAUUGCCUACAUGUUUACAGACCUAAAUCCUAGUUCACAAUGCAAGAACAGCACUUUUAUGAACUCAGAUUUUUCCCCAAUCCCCUCUUCUGCCAAAUGUUAGAAAUUUAAGAUGGCAGCAUCCAGGUUCUACAGGCUUAUUUAGCACCAAGGCACAGGUGAACAUCAGUCUUCAGUGAUCAUGCGUCUAUGCCGGCAUCCUCUGAGGCACCCACCAAUCUUGUCUCCGGUCACAUCCACAGCAGGCUGUGUGAGUUACCCCCACUCAGUCCCAGAGGGUCCAGCUCUAACUUUGGACAAACUUAGAGCUCCUCUUUGGACAAAGAAAGAUUAUUACGCCGUCUCAGCAUUAACAGAGGGCUGUGGCAACCCCUAUAAUGCUGUCUUAGACUUUUAAAAAAUUACUUUUUAAUAUUUUUGAUGAUUUGAAACUUUUUAGUAUUGGAGGUUAAUCAAAAUAAUACAUGAAGUAUACGUUGGGAGUUCUACUUAUGGAAUGGAAUUGAAAAACUAUGUGACCUGCUCGCCGAUGAAACAAGUAUAGCUGGUGGAGAAUACUGAAAAAGCUGCUACUUGAAGUCUCUGGAAAUUGUCAGAAGAGCGAAACUAUGGGUAAUGGUUACUCAAAUCCAUUUCAUCUGCUUUCACUAAUCAAGGUUGUUUUUGACUUGCUUGUCCUCCAAGCAACACGUAGCAUAAACAAUAAGAUACCUGCCCGAGUUAUUUUCCAGGAAUUUGGGGUCAGCUGUGCCUAGUUUGAGCUGAGUUGGCUGACCACCGGCCCUCCAACUAGGCAUGCGCGAGUGCCCGGUGACCUUUGACGUCAGAGGCUGGAAACUCCACCCUCAGAUGGUUCGAGGCCUGUAACCUAGUUACGCCUGCGCAGAAGGCUGCAGGAGGAUGAUUCACGCACCUUUUUCCAAUCACCCUUCCCCACGCCCCCCGCGCUGCAGACGUCCCAGCGUCUCUCCGUCAUCCCGUAAGCACCCGCACCCUCGCCUCUGCGGGGGGAGAGCUGCCGGUGCUUCCACCUCUUCGCUUGGCUGCCUUGUGUGGAAGCCCUCUCUUUGCUACAUGCCUCUGCGGCUCAGCCUUUGGCUUGCUGUGAGUCCGGUAGGACGAACCUGAUUCGGUAACAAGAGUAUAUAGCAAAUGAAGAAACAUUUAUGCGAGAAAGUCUACUCUAACUCAGAACAGCAGGAGUCUGUGGAAUUUGAAUUAUAACCUCCUCGCUCUCUCAGCUCUGUGUGACAGAAGCUUCCGCAAUGAAUGAGAGUUCCUGUUGCUCCACAUGCUCACCAGCAUUUGGCGUUGUCAGUGUUUUGGAUUUUGGCCAUUCUAAUAGGUCUUAGCUGGGAGACAGAAAGAGCCUCCUGUCUGACGGCUGCCCGGGCCUCCAGCUCUCCACCCCUUCCCACCUAUCCUGCCAACCGGUGAGAGAUCAAACUGAAAACCUUCUGGCGACAGUGUGCUCCUCUGGAACAAGCUGCACCAACUCCAGAUCCCAUGGGGACACAGACGGGCCACUAACGGAGCAGCCGCCACAGGCAGUCACCCUGUCAGUGCUUCACACGCGCUGGGUGUCACUCUGACAAGCCCACGCCCCGCGCUUUCCUGACGCGAGAAUAAAACUACCGACCACUGAGCAAAAAAGCACGUGGGAUGGAAUCCUCUGCGGGAGAGAAGGUUUUAGAACCUGAUCAGCGAGGCCCACUUACCAUCAGGUGAGGAUGUGGAAUGCCAUGGGAGAGUUCGGCUAAUUGGAGGUUGAAGAUUCCUCUUAAUCAUCACAUUUUAAAAUCACAAAGCUUAUUAGAUGGGGAAUGUUAAAAAAAUAAUGAUGCUUCCAGGCCUA